GUGGUGUAGCUCAGUGGUAGAGUAAAUUCUUAGCAUGCACGAAGGCCUGGGUUCAAUCCCCAGCAUACACA
rnacentral:tRNA from 1 species